rnacentral:rRNA from 1 species
CAGCCGCCGCGGUAAUACGGAGGGCGCGAGCGUUGUCCGGAUUCACUGGGCGUAAAGCGGGUGUAGGCGGCUCGGUAAGUCGGGUGUGAAAUCCCACAGCUCAACUGUGGAAUUGCGCCCGAAACUGCUGAGCUUGGGGCCGGUAGAGGGAGACGGAACUGCCGGUGUAGGGGUGAAAUCCGUAGAUAUCGGCAGGAACGCCGGUGGGGAAGCCGGUCUCCUGGGCCGCGCCCGACGCUGAGACCCGAAAGCUAGGGGAGCAAACCGGAUUAGAUACCCGGGUAGUCCUAGCCGUAAACGAUGCCCACUAGGUGUGGGGGAUUAAUUCCUCCGUGCUGUAGCUAACGCGUUAAGUGGGCCGCCUGGGGAGUACGCCCGCAAGGGUGAAACUUAAAGGAAUUGGCGGG